rnacentral:rRNA from 1 species
CAGAGGGUGCAAGCGUUGUUCGGAAUUAUUGGGCGUAAAGGGAGUGUAGGCGGUUAGGAAAGUCUUCUGUGAAAUCUACGGGCUCAGCCUGUAACGUGCAGAGGAAACUAUCUGACUAGAGUGUUGGAGAGGAUAGGGGAAUACCCGGUGUAGAGGUGAAAUUCGUAGAGAUCGGGUGGAACACCAGUGGCGAAGGCGCCUGUCUGGCUGACAACUGACGCUGAGACUCGAAAGCAUGGGGAGCAAACAGGAUUAGAUACCCUGGUAGUCCAUGCCGUAAACGAUGAUAACUAGAUGUGUGUGGUAUUGACCCCAUACGUGUCGAAGCCAACGCGAUAAGUUAUCCGCCUGGGGAGUACGGUCGCAAGAUUA